rnacentral:rRNA from 1 species
UGGGGAAUAUUGCGCAAUGGGCGAAAGCCUGACGCAGCGACGCCGCGUGGGGGAUGACGGCCUUCGGGUUGUAAACCUCUUUCAGCAGGGACGAAGUUGACGUGUACCUGCAGAAGAAGCGCCGGCUAACUACGUGCCAGCAGCCGCGGUAAUACGUAGGGCGCAAGCGUUGUCCGGAAUUAUUGGGCGUAAAGAGCUCGUAGGUGGCUGGUCGCGUCUGCCGUGAAAGCCCGCAGCUUAACUGCGGGUCUGCGGUGGAUACGGGCCGGCUAGAGGUAGGUAGGGGCAAGUGGAAUUCCUGGUGUAGCGGUGAAAUGCGCAGAUAUCAGGAGGAACACCGGUGGCGAAGGCGGCUUGCUGGGCCUUACCUGACGCUGAGGAGCGAAAGCGUGGGGAGCGAACAGG